ACGACCUUACUUGGACAGGAUUUGUUCUAUAGGUUCGUACUACCGUAUCCUUGAUUGUAAAGGAGACGAGCAACUAAGUCUGGUGGAUGACUCCAGACUUCUAGGCCAGAGCGUGAUUAACGGUGAGGAUCUCUCAUAGACCCGUACUGUGGAGGAUCGUUCUUAUGCGAUGACCAUCGCCUGGGAUGGCCUUGAGGUUGUCUGACAGACU